UUGUGCAACCGUUAAUAGUGCACCGCAUCGAGUGUUGCGGUGAUAAAGGCGUACAAGAUAUUCACCACGCGAUUAGAGUUCCAUUACUGCAAUUUAGGAAAUAUUACUUUAAAGAAACACUCAGUAACUUCUUCGGAUAAUUUAAAAGAAAAAAACGAACAAUUAUUUUUGCCCAAUAUUCCUCGUCACUUGCGUUCGUAAACACGCCGCAUGUGGCAGCACCGAUCAAAGAAGGCUGCGACACCUGCUCCGGUAUAUUUCCUCGCACGCAUCGCAAAGUGCAAAAUUUUUUGAGGGUUUAAUAAUUGCUUAUGGAAAGAUUGGAAAUAAUUAAUUGACGAAAUUGACGGAAAUAAUUAAUUAAUGAACGAUCGGAUAUAAAUUUGAAGUCGCACAACAGAGACGAAUAUAUCUACAUUGGGAUUACAGUUAAAAUUGAAAAUAAGAUCGUAAAUUUCUUGACGUUUCACUAGAAUAGAUCAAAAUUCUUCAAGAUAUUUUGCAAGUCCCGGAGCAACUUUUUAAAAACAUGUUUUUUUGACAACGGCCGUAUGCCGCCAUUUUGUAUUUUUUUUUUAUUAAAAAAUAAAAAUUUG